GUUUUAGGUUCGAAUUUAGGUUUAAAUUUAGAAUUUAAAUUUAGCUUUAGUUUUAGGUUUGGAUUGAGGUUUAACUAUAUGCACUCAAAUUUAUGUUUGCGUUUCAAAAGUUCAUAAUUUAGCUCGGGGAUAAACCGGAUCUGGCAAUUCUUUUUCUGCGGCAACUAGCUGGUUUACGGGAGGCAAUUAUAGAGCGGGAAGAGUUCUUUUGGCUGAUGAGGCUUUCCUGUCCGUCCGUAUUAGGGUCCGUUCGGGUAAACCAGGGUUUUUGUUAUAAAUAUAUAUGGCUAAGACCACCUGAGAUCUCGAAAUCACACGUUACUUUGUAAGAGGCCUGAGCUCAACCCUGUUCGCGCACGUUUGACAAAAAAAAAAAACGCAAACGGAAUGGAUUCGAUACGAUGAAUGAUAGAAAAUUACUUAAAAAGGACACUCGUCCGGUCCGUCUUGUCGUCCGGGUGCAAACUCACAGAAGGUCGGAAAACCAAAAAUUAUACCAAAGCACCCCAGGCGUGGUGGUGCUGGAAAACAGCUUCUCCCUCGUUGGAUGGAGUCGGUGUUGAAGUGGCUUUGCAGGUUUGUGUUUUGCUU
rnacentral:lncRNA from 1 species